rnacentral:rRNA from 1 species
UGAAUACGUUCCCGGGUCUUGUACACACCGCCCGUCAAACCAUGAAAGUGACCAACACCCGAAGUCCGAUUCGUCGGCCUAAGGUGGGGGGCAUGAUUGGGGUU